rnacentral:rRNA from 1 species
GACGUAGGGGGCGAGCGUUGUCCGGAAUCACUGGGCGUAAAGCGUGCGCAGGCGGCCCGUUAAGACAGGUGUGAAAUCCCUGGGCUCAACCUAGGAAUUGCGCUUGUGACUGGCGGGCUCGAGUACGGUAGAGGGGGGUGGAAUUCCUGGUGUAGCAGUGAAAUGCGUAGAGAUCAGGAGGAACACCGAUGGCGAAGGCAGCCCCCUGGGCCUGUACUGACGCUCAUGCACGAAAGCGUGGGGAGCAAACAGG